GUUAAUAAGCUUAAAGCAACAUAACUUGAAAUUAUGUAAAAGUAAAUUAAUCUUAUUUAACA
rnacentral:tRNA from 1 species